rnacentral:rRNA from 1 species
UAGGGAAUCUUCCACAAUGGACGCAAGUCUGAUGGAGCAACGCCGCGUGAGUGAAGAAGGUUUUCGGACCGUAAAGCUCUGUUGUUGGUGAAGAAGGAUAGAGGUAGUAACUGGCCUUUAUUUGACGGUAAUCAACCAGAAAGUCACGGCUAACUACGUGCCAGCAGCCGCGGUAAUCGUAGGUGGCAAGCGUUGUCCGGAUUUAUUGGGCGUAAAGCGAGCGCAGGCGGAAGAAUAAGUCUGAUGUGAAAGCCCUCGGCUUAACCGAGGAAUUGCAUCGGAAACUGUUUUCUGAGUGCAGAAGAGGAGAGUAGAACUCCAUGUGUAGCGGUGGAAUGCGUAGAUAUAUGGAAGAAUACCAGCGGCGAAGGCGGCUCUCUGGUCUGCAACUGACGCUGAGGCUCGAAAGCAUGGGUAGCGAACAGGAUUAGAUACCCUUGGUAGUCCAUGCCGUAAACGAUGAGUGCUAAGUGUUGGGAGGCUUCCGCCUCUCAGUGCUGCAGCUAACGCAUUAAGCACUCCGCCUGGGGGAGUACGACCGCAAGGUUGAAAC